rnacentral:lncRNA from 1 species
AGCGCCUUUGGGUGCGGGGCCGGGGACGGCGCGGGUCGGCGCAGGACAGACACGGGGACGUGGGGACGCGGGGAAGGGAAACGCGUUGCGCGCUCCAUGCGGGGCGCUGCCCAUUGUCCGACGGCUUUUAUCUUUUAUAUUUCCCAUGAAUGAUUCAUGCCGCGGUGGCUUUGUGUCGCGCUCCUUUCACCAGAAACUUCAUUAGGAGCGCUAAGUUUUCCCAUUGACGGGAGCCUCAUUUGGGAGCGCUCUUCUGCUCCUCGCGUCGGUCGUCGGGGCCGCUCCCCGCAACCUGCUGCACCGUGCGGCCGUCCGCGGCGUUCUGACCGCUCGUCCUCGAGCAGCGACGCAUUCGAUGGGGAGGGAAAAGAACAGAAAAAAGAGGAAUAGAAAUAAUAACAAAAUCCUGGGCUCGCUGCGUUCGUUUCUUGUAUUAAAAUAUAAAGAUUAAAAAAAAAAAAAAAAAAAAAAAGGAAAGGAAAAAAAGUCUCUCCCUUCGGCCCCGCGUAGCACUGAGCCGCGGACGGCGCCGAGGCUGCGGGAGGGCACGGCCGGGAAGAUGUGGAUUUAUUCGGACCGUCGCUAUUUAUGACGAUGCUUAUCGUUCUCGUUACCAUCCCCGUCGAAAUCUUCACGUUGAGUGUACCGCUGUGACGCCGCGAUUUUGCUGUUCCGGGGGAUAACGGAGGAGAAUCGGUGCCGGACCUCCCCCCGUGUUACCCACGCAGCCCGGGUCGCCCGCGGGGUCCCUCGUGGGAGCGGGACACGGAGCCGCGGGGGGGGGGGAGGGCAGAGUGGGGGUGGGGGUACGGCCGGGGAGGAAAAGCAUUGCCCCUCUGAGCCCCCCCGCCGCUCCUCUGCCCACCUGCAGAGCCGCACCUCGGGCUGUCAGCGAGCCGUGCGUGACGCGUGGGAACGCGCCGCUCGGUCACCGCGCGGGGACCUUUCCUGCCUUUCAUUUCUCGUAAUGGGGCUUACGGAGAGAGGUUCUCGUUUUGGUUUUGUUAUUUUUUUUGUUGUUGUUAAUUGCCGUUCUUUUCUUCGGGAGGUGCCGGUGGCACGGAGCGGGGGCAGGGCCGUGACCCUCCGCUCAGCGGCGGGGAGAUGCGCAGACACCGAGAGCUCCGUUUGCAAACAGCUCGGGGGGGUCGACAGAGGAAAGGUCCGCGCCCCACCUCGCCGGCUGCUAUUGGCUCAAGCGGGCUUUGAAACAAAUGGUUCUCGAAAAUAAUCCUAAUUAUUAUAUAUAUAUAUAUAAAAGCGGGGUUAAAAAAAAAAGAAAGAAAGAAAGAAAGCAAACGGUAUCAAUUGAGCAAAACCGGUUUUCUCUUCCGCUUUUCCGUUUGUCUUAAAGCGACGCCCGCUCCUUUCAGCCCAGCGCGGCGCAGCAGCGCGGAGCCGACGCGGAGGUCGCGGAGCACCGCGCUCUGUCCCGGCGGUGCCAACACCGCAC